CCUACGGGGGGCAGCAGUGAGGAAUAUUGGUCAAUGGCCGGAAGGCUGAACCAGCCAUGCCGCGUGAAGGUCAGUGCCCUAUGGGCGUUAAACUUCUUUUGUGCGGGAGCAAUAAUGGUCACGUGUGGCCAGACGAGAGUACCGUACGAAUAAGCAUUGGCUAACUCCGGGCCAGCAGCCGCGGUAAUACGGGGGUGGCAAGCGUUAUCCGGAUUUAUUGGGUUUAAAGGGUGCGUAGGCUGGGAGGUAAGUCAGCGGUGAAAUGCCCCCGCUCAAAGGGGUGAAGUGCCAUUGAUACUGCCUUGCUUGAAUGCGAAUGCCGUGGGAGGAAUGUGUGGUGUAGCGGUGAAAUGCAUAGAUAUCACACAGAACACCGAUUGCGAAGGCAUCUCACGAAUCCGCGAUUGACGCUGAUGCACGAAAGCGUGGGUAUCAAACAGGAUUAGAUACCCCUGUAGUC
rnacentral:rRNA from 1 species